rnacentral:rRNA from 1 species
GACGAACGCUGGCGGCGUGCUUAACACAUGCAAGUCGAACGGCAAGGCCCUGCUUUUGUGGGGUGCUCGAGUGGCGAACGGGUGAGUAACACGUGUGUAACCUGCCCUUGACUUUGGGAUAACUUCAGGAAACUGGGGCUAAUACCGGAUAGGAGCUCCUGCUGCAUGGUGGGGGUUGGAAAGUUUCGGCGGUUGGGGAUGGACUCGCGGCUUAUCAGCUUGUUGGUGGGGUAGUGGCUUACCAAGGCUUUGACGGGUAGCCGGCCUGAGAGGGUGACCGGCCACAGUGGGACUGGGAUACGGCCCAGACGCCUACGGGAGGCAGCAGUGGGGAAUAGUGCACAAUGGGCGGAAGCCUGAUGCAGGAACUCCGCGUGCGGGAUGACGGCCUUCGGGUUGUAAACCGCUUUCGCCUGUAACGAGGCGUGAGUGACGGUAAUGGGUAAAGAAGCACCGGCUAACUACGU